rnacentral:rRNA from 1 species
GACGAACGCUGGCGGCGUGCUUAACACAUGCGAGUCGAACGGAAAGGCCCUGCUUUUUUGGGGUGCUCUAGUGGCGAACGGGUGAGUAACACGUGAGUAACCUGCCCUUGACUUUGGGAUAACUUCAGGAAACUGGGGCUAAUACCGGAUAGGAGCUCCUGCUGCAUGGUGGGGGUUGGAAAGUUUCGGCGGUUGGGGAUGUACUCGCGGCUUAUCAGCUUGUUGGUGGGGUAGUGGCUUACCAAGGCUUUGACGGGUAGCCGGCCUGAGAGGGUGACCGGCCACAUUGGGACUGAGAUACGGCCAAGACUCAUACGGGAGGCAGCAGUGGGGAAUAUUGCAAAAUGGGCGGAAGCCUGAUGCAGAAACGCCGCGUGCGGGAUGACGGCCUUCGGGUUGUAAACCGCUUUCGCCUGUGACGAAGCGUGAGUGACGGUAAUGGGUAAAGAAGCACCGGCUAACUACGUG